rnacentral:sRNA from 1 species
GCUGGGCAUGGUGGCUUAUGCCUGUAAUCCCAGUGACUUGGGUGGCUAAGGCAGAAGAAUUGCAAAUUCAAGGCCAUCUUUGGCAAUUUAGCAAGAUCCUGUCUGAA